GACGAACGCUGGCGGCGUGCUUAACACAUGCAAGUCGAACGGAAAGGCCCUGCUUUUGUGGGGUGCUCGAGUGGCGAACGGGUGAGUAACACGUGAGUAACCUGCCCUUGACUUUGGGAUAACUUCAGGAAACUGGGGCUAAUACCGGAUAGGAGCUCCUGCUGCAUGGUGGGGGUUGGAAAGUUUCGGCGGUUGGGGAUGGACUCGCGGCUUAUCAGCUUGUUGGUGGGGUAGUGGCUUACCAAGGCUUUGACGGGUAGCCGGCCUGAGAGGGUGACCGGCCACAUUGGGACUGAGAUACGGCCCAGACUCCUACGGGAGGCAGCAGUGGGGAAUAUUGCACAAUGGGCGGAAGCCUGAUGCAGCAACGCCGCGUGCGGGAUGACGGCCUUCGGGUUGUAAACCGCUUUCGCCUGUGACGAAGCGUGAGUGACGGUAAUGGGUAAAGAAGCACCGGCUAACUACGUGCCAGCAGCCGCGGUGAUACGUAGGGUGCGAGCGUUGUCCGGAUUUAUUGGGCGUAAAGGGCUCGUAGGUGGUUGAUCGCGUCGGAAGUGUAAUCUUGGGGCUUAACCCUGAGCGUGCUUUCGAUACGGGUUGACUUGAGGAAGGUAGGGGAGAAUGGAAUUCCUGGUGGAGCGGUGGAAUGCGCAGAUAUCAGGAGGAACACCAGUGGCGAAGGCGGUUCUCUGGGCCUUUCCUGACGUUGAGGAGCGAAAGCGUGGGGAGCGAACAGGCUUAGAUACCCUGGUAGUCCACGCUGUAAACGGUGGGUACUAGGUGUGGGGUCCAUUCCACGGGUUCCGUGCCGUAGCUAACGCUUUAAGUACCCCGCCUGGGGAGUACGGCCGCAAGGCUAAAACUCAAAGGAAUUGACGGGGCCCCGCACAAGCGGCGGAGCAUGCGGAUUAAUUCGAUGCAACGCGUAGAACCUUACCUGGGUUUGACAUGGAUCGGGAGUGCUCAGAGAUGGGUGUGCCUCUUUUGGGGUCGGUUCACAGGUGGUGCAUGGCUGUCGUCAGCUCGUGUCGUGAGAUGUUGGGUUAAGUCCCGCAACGAGCGCAACCCCUGUUCACUGUUGCCAGCACGUUAUGGUGGGGACUCAGUGGAGACCGCCGGGGUCAACUCGGAGGAAGGUGGGGAUGACGUCAAGUCAUCAUGCCCCUUAUGUCCAGGGCUUCACGCAUGCUACAAUGGCUGGUACAGAGAGUGGCGAGCCUGUGAGGGUGAGCGAAUCUCGGAAAGCCGGUCUCAGUUCGGAUUGGGGUCUGCAACUCGACCUCAUGAAGUCGGAGUCGCUAGUAAUCGCAGAUCAGCAACGCUGCGGUGAAUACGUUCCCGGG
rnacentral:rRNA from 1 species